UACGGGGGGGGCAAGCGUUGUUCGGAAUUACUGGGCGUAAAGGGCUCGUAGGCGGCCAAGUAAGUCGGAUGUGAAAUCCCCAGGCUCAACUUGGGAACUGCAUCCGAUACUGGAUGGCUUGAAUUCGGGAGAGGGAUGCAGAAUUCCAGGUGUAGCGGUGAAAUGCGUAGAUAUCUGGAGGAAUACCGGUGGCGAAGGCGGCAUCCUGGACCGACAUUGACGCUGAGGAGCGAAAGCUAGGGGAGCAAACGGG
rnacentral:rRNA from 1 species